UUUAGGUUUACGUUAGGGAGUUGAGAUUACGAUUAGGUGUAGGUUUAGGUUUAGGGAUUUGAGAAUACAUUUAGGCUUUAGGUUUAGGUUUAGGUUUUAGGUUUAGGUUAUAGGUUAUAGCUGUAGGGAAUUGAGAAUAGGUUAAGAAAUCGGGUUUGGGUUCGGUAUUAGGUUUAGGUUUGGGUUUUCAAGUUUAGGUUUAGGUUUAGGUUAGGGAGUUGAG